UACCAUGUCUAUGUAGAGACUGUACCAAUAGAAAUGUGAUUCCAAUUGCCGAUUUACGUCAACACAUUUUCAUGAAUGGUUGGUUGACACAUUAUGUUAUAUGGACGAAACAUGGUGAGCGAACUUACGAUUCAAAACCAAACAUAGAAAAUAUAGUUGAAGAUGAACCAAACAAUGAAAUGCGUAAUUUGGUUUGCGUGGCGAUGGG
rnacentral:lncRNA from 1 species